ensembl:snRNA U6 U6 spliceosomal RNA
GUGCUCGCUUAGGCAGCACAUAUACUAAAAUUGGAACGAUACAGAGAAGAUUAACAUGGCCCCUGCGUAAUGGAGAGGAGCCUGAGGAAAAGAAGGUCCAGUGACAG